UGGCUUGUUCAUCCAUUGUGGGCUGCCCGUGUGAAUAAGGAAGCUUCUCAUGGCGGUAUGGUUGGCUUGUUCAACCAUUGUGGGCUGCCCGUGUGAAUAAGGAAGCUUCCCAUGGCGGCUAUGGUUUGAACAUCUAGAAGUACGGCUGAAAGUCAUCAUCUUCCUCCUGUUUUAAUCGAGUCUUAUUCGUUCGAUUUUCCUCUAAAUUUUCCUUUUAUUCUUGCAAAUCUUGCACCUUAUUAUCUAAACUCUUAUGGUUAGACACUUUUCCGGCAAGAGCUCUAAUGUCAGAAAUCAUCUUUUAUAUUAGCUCACGCAAUUCUCCUACUUUUGCUGAAGAACUCUCGUUUAAUCUUGUUCCUUUCAUCGUUUUCAUACCAAGGAAAAGGCUGCUCAGAAACUGUUGGUAUCUCAAUCGCAGGAAUUCACAUAGAACUCAAGAAUUGAAGAGCUAAGCUAGGAGUUUGACGGAGAAACUCUAAGAUCACAACUUAUGAAAUGCAGAAAUUAUACUUGAGAGAAAGAGAUUGAGAGAGAGAGAGAGAGAUUGUAA
rnacentral:lncRNA from 1 species